CCGGUUAUUCUGAAGAAGAAUAUUAUUAUUGGCAAAUAAUAAACAUAUUAUUCUUACUUAGCCUACUAGACCUUUAAGGCCAACUGCUAGCAAGCCCCUUUAAAGGAUUGUUAUAUGUAAAGACAUAUUUUGCAGUGCUGCAACUGCUGUGGCAGGCACAUACCUAAUAUCUUAAUCAAAUCAAUAAGAUACUUCCCACUAGAUUUUCCUUAAUAGCAUUAAUAAAUAUAAAAUGUCC
rnacentral:lncRNA from 1 species